UUUUGGACAAUGGGGGCAACCCUGAUCCAGCAAUGCCGCGUGAGUGAAGAAGGCCUUCGGGUUGUAAAGCUCUUUUGUCAGGGAAGAAACACCGGCUCUAACACAGUCCGGGAAUGACGGUACCUGAAGAAUAAGCACCGGCUAACUACGUGCCAGCAGCCGCGGUAAUACGUAGGGUGCAAGCGUUAAUCUGAAUUACUGGGCGUAAAGCGUGCGCAGGCGGUUAUACAAGACAGGCGUGAAAUCCCCGGGCUUAACCUGGGAAUGGCGCCUGUGACUGUAUAGCUAGAGUGUGUCAGAGGGGGGUAGAAUUCCACGUGUAGCAGUGAAAUGCGUAGAUAUGUGGAGGAAUACCAAUGGCGAAGGCAGCCCCCUGGGAUAACACUGACGCUCAUGCACGAA
rnacentral:rRNA from 1 species